UGAGGAACAUGACCUUCGGCGGGGGAUAGCCGGCCCAACGGCCGGGUAAUACCGCGUACGACCACAUGGGGACAUCCCUGGGUGGUGAAAGCAGCAAUGCGCCGAUGGAGUGCCUCGCGGCCUAUCAGCUAGUUGGUGAGGUAACGGCUCACCAAGGCGACGACGGAUAGCUGGUCUGAGAGGAUGGCCAGCCACAUUGGGACUGAGACACGGCCCAGACCUCGUACGGGAG
rnacentral:rRNA from 1 species